GACGGGUGAGUAACGCGUGAGCAACCUGCCCAUAAGAGGGGGAUAACAGUUGGAAACGACUGCUAAUACCGCAUAAGACCACAUUACCGCAUGGUAGAGGGGUCAAAGAAAUUCGCUUAUGGAGGGGCUCGCGUCCCAUUAGGUAGUUGGUAGGGUAAAGGCCUACCAAGCCGACGAUGGGUAGCCGACCUGAGAGGGUGAUCGGCCACACUGGAACUGAGACACGGUCCAGACUCC
rnacentral:rRNA from 1 species